GUCUCUGUGGCGCAAUUGGUUAGCGCGUUCGGCUGUUAACCGGAAAGUUGGUGGUUCGAGCCCACCCAGGGACG
rnacentral:tRNA from 3 species